UUGAUGGCGACCGACGCACGGGUGAGUAACGCGUAUCCAACCUGCCUUUACUAUGGGACAGCCCGUCGAAAGGCGGAUUAAUACCGUAUGUUGUCAUGUUGAUGCAUAUUUUCAUGACCAAAGGCUUCGGCCGGUAAAGGAUGGGGAUGCGUCUGAUUAGCUUGCCGGCGGGGUAACGGCCCACCGGGGCGACGAUCAGUAGGGGUUCUGAGAGGAAGGUCCCCCACAUUGGAACUGAGACACGGUCCAAACUCCUACGGAAGGCAGCAG
rnacentral:rRNA from 1 species